GACGGACGCUGGCGGCGUGCUUAACACAUGCAAGUCGAACGGAAAGGCCCUGCUUUUGUGGGGUGCUCGAGUGGCGAACGGGUGAGUAACACGUGAGUAACCUGCCCUUGACUUUGGGAUAACUUCAGGAAACUGGGGCUAAUACCGGAUAAGAGCUCCUGCUGCAUGGUGGGGGUUGGAAAGUUUCGGCGGUUGGGGAUGGACUCGCGGCUUAUCAGCUUGUUGGUGGGGUAGUGGCUUACCAAGGCUUUGACGGGUAGCCGGCCUGAGAGGGUGACCGGCCACAUUGGGACUGAGAUACGGCCCAGACUCCUACGGGAGGCAGCAGUGGGGAAUAUUGCACAAUGGGCGGAAGCCUGAUGCAGCAACGCCGCGUGCGGGAUGACGGCCUUCGGGUUGUAAACCGCUUUCGCCUGUGACGAAGCGUGAGUGACGGUAAUGGGUAAAGAAGCACCGGCUAACUACGUG
rnacentral:rRNA from 1 species